rnacentral:lncRNA from 1 species
GGUAAUAUAGAUAAAUUUAGGUGUUUAUUUAUAAUGGCAAGAAUGGAUAAUUUAGAUGUAUAGGUAGGGCCUUACUUUAGUUUACUUUUUAUAGGGCGAGGUGCAAAAUUAGAAAUUAGAUCCAACGACUAAUGCCGUCCGUAACAAAAUACACGGUCGGAUAUUGUUCUUUUCUUUUCUGAGUUUCUUUUUUUCUAGUGUGUUUCACGAUAAUUGACAUGGAUCUUGACUCUUAUCUGUAGUCAGCCUAAAACAAUUAUUGUCGUCACGGAACUGAAUGCUCAACAGUGCAAUACUUGAGACAUCGGAACAUGACAUCUAUCUCGCGUAUGCGUG